AUAUAAAACUAUAUUGCUUUUUGCUAUUAUUUAAUAAUGUAUGUGUAUUUGUCGAACUAUUAAACUGUGUACGCAAAAGUACAUCAUAUAUACGUACAUACGUACAUACAUACAUACAUACAUACAUACACAUAUAAACAAAUACAUGUACAUAUUUUUAAAUUGUCAUGUAUUUAACCCAUCCACACGUUCUUAUAUGUCCAGUUAUAAUAAAUAAGAAACGUAUUAUAAAAGGAAGAAUAAUUUAAUAAAACAAUUUUGUCUUUUGUCUUCUUUUUUUUUUUUUUUUUUUUUUUUUUUUUAUUAUUAGUGUAUGUAUAUUUGGACAUGUUUCAUUUAUACGAACUGUUGAUGUUUUUUUUACGACAUCCAAGAGAUAUCUAUGACGAAGAUAUCUUAGGACCAAUUUUUUUGAAUUUCCAUGAUAAAAAUUAUUAUAGAAGAGAUUUAAUUAUAAAAAAUAAACGAGGGGAAAAAUUAAGAUGUUGUUUUUUUACACCUUUUAAUUAUAAUGAAAAUACCCCCUGCAUAAUAUAUACACAUUCAACAACAAGUAGUCAAUUAGAAGCUCUAGAUUUGCUACGCAUUCUUUUGGUAUGUGAAUGUUCUAUUUUUUCAUAUGACUGUGCAGGUUGUGGUUUAUCUGAUGGUUAUUAUACAACAGGUGGUUGGAACGAGUCACAGGAUUUAUUUUUAAUAUUAAAUCAUCUAAGGACUGUUGAAAAAAUAAAAACGAUUGGACUAUGGGGUAAAUACUCUGGUGCUGUAUGCUCAAUAAUCGCUGCUGCCUUAGAUAAAAACAUUAAGCUAUUGAUUUUAGACUCGCCAUAUGUAUCUCUAAUCGAGUUAUACAAAAUUCGUUUUAAUUUGGAAGCAACGCAAAGAAGCGAAAUAUUUUUUAAAGACAUUUGUUUAUAUUUUGCACGAAAAAAAAUAAAAAAAAUGUUUCAUUAUGACAUAAAUGAUGUUUGUCCAGUAUUUUUUAUUAAUGAUUUAACUAUACCAACAAUUUAUAUAACAUCAAAAAAUGAUAGUAUUGUUAACCCAGCGCAUACUUUGUAUUUAGCUUAUAAACAGGAGCAGGCACCGAAAAUAAUUUUAAUUACAGAAAAGUCAAAGCAGUCUUAUGAAUCUUAUGCAUAUGAUAGCAAACUGACAAUAGCAAUUAAAGCAAUCUUGUAUGAUAGUUUUUUUGAAUCAGACAUAAACCAAAUCUUUGAUAAAUGUAUA
rnacentral:lncRNA from 1 species